rnacentral:rRNA from 1 species
UUUGGCAGAGAUGCCUUAGUGCCUUCGGGAACCGUGAGACAGGUGCUGCAUGGCUGUCGUCAGCUCGUGUUGUGAAAUGUUGGGUUAAGUCCCGCAACGAGCGCAACCCUUAUCCUUUGUUGCCAGCGAUUCGGUCGGGAACUCAAAGGAGACUGCCGGUGAUAAACCGGAGGAAGGUGGGGAUGACGUCAAGUCAUCAUGGCCCUUACGAGUAGGGCUACACACGUGCUACAAUGGCGCAUACAAAGAGAAGCGACCUCGCGAGAGCAAGCGGACCUCACAAAGUG